rnacentral:rRNA from 1 species
GAUGAACGCUGGCGGCGUGCCUAAUACAUGCAAGUCGAGCGAACAGACGAGGAGCUUGCUCCUCUGACGUUAGCGGCGGACGGGUGAGUAACACGUGGAUAACCUACCUAUAAGACUGGGAUAACUUCGGGAAACCGGAGCUAAUACCGGAUAAUAUAUUGAACCGCAUGGUUCAAUAGUGAAAGACGGUUUUGCUGUCACUUAUAGAUGGAUCCGCGCCGCAUUAGCUAGUUGGUAAGGUAACGGCUUACCAAGGCAACGAUGCGUAGCCGACCUGAGAGGGUGAUCGGCCACACUGGAACUGAGACACGGUCCAGACGCCUACGGGAGGCAGCAGUAGGGAAUCUUCCGCAAUGGGCGAAAGCCUGACGGAGCAACGCCGCGUGAGUGAUGAAGGUCUUCGGAUCGUAAAACUCUGUUAUUAGGGAAGAACAAAUGUGUAAGUAACUAUGCACGGCUUGACGGUACCUAAUCAGAAAGCCACGGCUAACUACGUG